AUUGAACGCUGGCGGCAGGCCUAACACAUGCAAGUCGAACGGUAACAGGAAGCAGCUUGCUGCUUCGCUGACGAGUGGCGGACGGGUGAGUAAUGUCUGGGAAGCUGCCUGAUGGAGGGGGAUAACUACUGGAAACGGUAGCUAAUACCGCAUAAUGUCGCAAGACCAAGGAGGGGGACCUUCGGGCCUCUUGCCAUCGGAUGUGCCCAGAUGGGAUUAGCUUGUUGGUGGGGUAACGGCUCACCAAGGCGACGAUCCCUAGCUGGUCUGAGAGGAUGACCAGCCACACUGGGACUGAGACACGGUCCAGACUCCUACGGGAGGCAGCAGUGGGGAAUAUUGCACAAUGGGCGCAAGCCUGAUGCAGCCAUGCCGCGUGUAUGAAGAAGGCCUUCGGGUUGUAAAGUACUUUCAGCGGGGAGGAAGGGAGUAAAGUUAAUACCUUUGCUCAUUGACGUUACCCGCAGAAGAAGCACCGGCUAACUCCGUG
rnacentral:rRNA from 1 species